AAUCAACGCUGGCGGCGUGCCUAACACAUGCAAGUCGAGCGAGAAAAGGGGAGCAAUCCUCUGAGUACAGCGGCGCACGGGUGAGUAACACGUGGGUAAUCUGCCCUGGGGUGGGGAAUAACACCGGGAAACCGGUGCUAAUACCGCAUACGAUAACGAGGUCUGCGGAUUUCGUUAUGAAAGGAGCAAUUCGCUCUAGGAGGAGCCCGCGGCUGAUUAGCUAGUUGGUGAGGUAAUGGCUCACCAAGGCUACGAUCAGUAUCCGGUCUGAGAGGACGGUCGGACACACUGGAACUGAGACACGGUCCAGACUCCUACGGGAGCAGCAGUGGGAAUUUUGCAAUGGGGGAAACCCUGACCAAGCAACGCCGCGUGGGUGAUGAAGUAUCUCGGUAUGUAAAACCCUUUCGAC
rnacentral:rRNA from 1 species